AUCUAAGCUCCUCAUUCAGCACCAGGCAAAAAUUAGGCACACAAAACCAGGAUUCAUACGCACCAGCACCCCGCUUCACCCUUGCCAGCAGAGAGGGGGGAGAAGGAGGGAUGGAUGUGACCCCAUAACUCUCCCACAGAUACUGGAUAUCUGAUGAAUGGCAUUCAGAUGGCUGAUUAACCAUCCCUUUGCUGGCAUACCUGCAAGGAUCCAACUGGCACAGGAGAGGUUUCCCUUCCUAAUGAAAAAAAAAAAGUCUACUAAAGAGAGGAAGAAAGUUCGGAUUAUCCACCUGUGUGUUCCUAUGGCUCCUUGCAUGCAGAAGAACACUGCUGCCUUUAUAUGCACAGCCCAUCCUCACAGGCUGACUAGAUUAAUCCCUUCACGUUGGAGGAAUUGCUAAAUAUCCACUGAAAAAACCCAGAGCUGUCAGCUUGGGACACUGAUCUCCUCUUGCAGCCCAGGGGGAGCACACCUGAGUCCCACCACUGGCCUUUGCCAGUGCUCAUACACCUGGGUGACCCAUGGAGCCAGCAUGCCCUCCUGCUAAAGGGUUUGUCCCUCUGGAAACCAAGUCUUUCUCAGGGCUACCUUCUGGUUGCUUAACCCCCCAGCACUCAGCCAUCAGAAACUAAUGUGCUGAUGUAGCAAGAGGUCACAGACUUGAGGUGUUACUGAUUGCCACCUAUACGGUUCUUUCAGGAAGACUUGUCACCAGAAUCCUGUUGUCAUUCAGGAUUGCUUUCACCAUAUCAGUAGCUCAAAUGAGUACAGGAAAGCCUCCAUGAACCACCUCAGUUUGGGAUCAGCCCCUGUGGAGGCAACAUCUCUUCUGCCCUGGAGCUCUCAAAGAAGGAAUACACACUUCUGGCCUUGAAGAAUUGUCCUUCCUUUAUGUGCCCAAAGAAAGGAAAAUGUGGCUUCUACCCCUCAACCCCUGGCACCGUCCUGAUCAAACUCUGAUUAAACUGUUCAGCUCAGACAGACUUCAAACACUGAACUCUUAACCCAGCCUAUGUUACCACGGCAUGAGGCCACCAGCACAGGUGAACCCUCAUCAGCACCCAUGGUGCUGAGGCUGGAGCAUCCAGUUCAAAAGAAAACUUUCAAUUCAGUGUAAUUUUCAUAAGUACCCAGGGAACAUGGCUUGUAGAAGAAGGUAUUAUCAGCUAAAACGUCAGUUGGCAAAGUUAUUUCAGUUUUUAAGCGUCAUUUUGUGCAAAAUGACACAUAUAGUCUUUCCUUGCCUUAAAUCAAACACCUUAGUGCCAAACCUGAGGACCACUUAAUACCAAUGUCAAAAAUCCUAUGGAUUUACAUAAAAACAAGACCCCAAUGGGACAAAUUAUCUUUUGGAUCAUUAGUGAUGUAAAUGGCAUGGAGAGGCAUUAAAAACAAAAACAGGUUAUAAACUUUGCUGAAAGACUAUUUUCCACACUUCAUUAGCGGAAAAUAAGGUGUAUUUCUAGCAAGGACUUCACAGACAGAGUGCCUUGCCCAUAAAUGUCUGAGUGCCUGUUUAGUAAAGUGGAAUGUGAAUAUCUGUGAAACCCAAGUGAAAACAUGGGGCUAUGGAAAAUAUACAACAUAUAUAUGAAGAUCAACUCUAAACUUCUACAUUCCCGAAGAGUUCAGAUGUUACUAUUUUCAGAUAUACCUACAGUUUUAUACUAUCUCCUCCACAGUUUACAACAGCUUCAAAUAUAUGCUUAGACAGGCUAGAAAAACUAAACAGAAAUCCACUGGAAGAGAGAAGAAUAAUUUCUUUAUUUUCCUGUCUUUUAUGACAUCUGUUAACUGCAAAUAGCAUACUAUUAUGCCGCAGUUUUGCCUUAGACCCCAAUGUGGAAGACAUUACUCUUUCAUAUCACUGAGAAAGCAUUAACUUCAGAAAAAAAAAAUAGCAUCUGCUGCAUUCACCAAAUUUAGCAGCCCAGAGUUCAACACUGCUCUUACAGAAACUGAAGAAACUCUCAUUAAUUCCAAGGGGUGAAGGGCUGGUUGUGAAAAUCCUAAAUAUGUUUUACUAAUAGAAUUCAUCUUGUUAAUAAGUUGGCAUGUGAACCCAUUUUUUCCGGCUGCUGAAAGCCGCUUGUGGUUUGCUUUUAUUCUUUCGAACACAAUUAGCAAAGCUCUCGAGCAGCUGAAUAGACCUAUUCAUCUGAACAAAUUAUUUCUUGGCAGAGUUUUUGGGGUUUUUUUUUUGUUUGUUUGUAUUUUUGUGUUGUUUUUUUUUUUUUUUUUUUUCUUUUUUAAAUCUCCUCAAAACACUUUCCUACCCUGAUGUAGUCAGAAGAGACACAAAAGCCUGCCUGUCAUUAAUCUCGCCUGCCUGUGCCUGAAAAGACAAGUGGGAGGUACACUGCUGAACACAUCACAUUUUCAGUGUCUCUCCCAGUGACACGACUGAAUUACUCGCUUCUCCCUACCCUUAUCUUAGCUGGUGUACAAUCCUAAUUAAAAGGCUGACGUAAGGAAUACACAGGGGGAAGAGUCUGGCACGGAUGUUAUGGAUGAGAUGAUAAAGUUUAUGAGCACAGCUACCUCCCACAUAGCUUUUGUAGUUAACUGUUGGAGCUCGAGCAGUUGCUCUUAUGCAGAUCAUUUCUCAUUUCAGAGGGCUGUAAACGUUAAAUAAAACAGACUUGCCCUUUCUAAUAGUUAGUAGCAUCUCACUGAUCUAAUUAAUCUACGUAGUUCAUUCUUUCACUGAGAUAACUUUACAGGCAAAUUGGACUCCAGUUCCCUUCUCCUGCUGCUCAUUUUCGGUGUGCAAAGGGCUGUGGAUAGGAUAAAACCCAUGCACCCACCUCAGGAACAAUGCUGCCAUGUAGUUAACACAGCAAAAAUAUUUGUUGUUUAAUUAGUUACAUUUUCAGCUUUUACAUGAGAAGAAAAAGCAAGCCAUGGGUGGUCCACAACCUCAGAAGAGCAAAUAUCCUGGGUUGUAAAAUCAUCCCACCUCAGAAUACUGUGUUGGACAUAAAAAAAAGCAUUUAUUGAAUUUUAGGCCUGAGUUGGGAACAGAAGGUUCAUUAAGAGCUUCCAAACUGCACCCUACCACCAAUUCAUUAAGUGUUUGGCAUUAUUUAAUAAAAAUGGCUCAUGCACA